CAGCAAGUCCCAGCCCAUCCUUCGCAACUUCGGAAAGAGCUCUUUUGGAGGUGAUGUGAGCAGCGCUGACCGAAGGGAGUUAAGAGGAAUCUAAAAAUGGGCUACGUUUCAAGUCUCCACUGAAAUUUCCAGCCAGUAUCUAGCAUCACAAAACUUGAAGCAGCCUGGAUUGCAGUGCUUGUGGGAAGAAUAAUCCUAGGACCACCUAGUUUAACAGGGGAUCGUCAGUGAAAGCUUGGUACUGAACUGCUACUUAUAGAGCACACCCAUUUAAGAGGACACUAGAGACAAGGGACAACGCUCAACAGGACACAUAACUCAGAAUCUCAGAAGUCAGAAGCCUGCAGAAUCAUAAACACAGGAGCUAAAGACUAACUGGCCAACCAUUUGGACCUUCUUGUCUGAGAAGACCCUUGUGGCAGCUGCAACACAACUGAGGGCCUCCAAAUCCUCCAAAGAAGCUCAAUUUACUCAAGGUAAGGCUACCAUUGGGGAUGCUACAGAAAACCAGGCAAACCAUAGUUAAAGUGGUAAAAACAAAUUUCAGUAAGAAACUAUUACAAUUGGGGAAAGGAGAUGUCAAUAUAGAAAUAUGCU